CGAAAAUGGCGUGGGAUACACGAGUUGCAGUGUGUUUGUGUGUUUUCUUUGUGAUACAGCGAGUAACAACAACGGAGUAUGAUCAUCGCAGCAGAAAUGGUUCUGUGUACAGGAAGUGUUGUAAAGUGACAAUGAAAUAGGGAAGAAUGAGCAGUGACGUUUUUUUAAAAAAACGAGAGUCUGAGAUUUUU